rnacentral:rRNA from 1 species
AGGGUUCGAUCAUGGCUCAGGAUGAACGCUAGCGGCAGGCCUAACACAUGCAAGUCGAGGGGCAGCACGAUUAAGAGGUAACUCUUGGUGGGUGGCGACCGGCGGACGGGUGCGUAACGCGUAUGCAACCUGCCUGACACAGGGGGAUAAUCCGAAGAAAUUUGGUCUAAUACCCCAUAAUACUAUACAAGGCAUCUUGUUUAGUUGAAAGCUCCGGCGGUGUCGGAUGGGCAUGCGUUGUAUUAGCUGGUUGGUGAGGUAACGGCUCACCAAGGCGACGAUACAUAGGGGGACUGAGAGGUUAACCCCCCACACUGGUACUGAGACACGGACCAG